rnacentral:lncRNA from 1 species
UCGAUUCUGCUCCCUCAAUUGCGUAAUUCACUGCAGACCGCUGGGUACCGAGCUCUUCGGUCACUUAACAUCUCCUACUCCAGUUAGUAAAUCAACCUUUCAGAGAUUUGCGAAAUUAGCAAAUUUGAAAAAGCGUCCUACACAACAAAAAGGAAAAGCAGAAAGUGAUUAGGUCAGAUAGCUCCUCCACACAUGCUCGUCAAAGCAACGGGUGUGCUGGCAAGAACAGCAGGAAGAACCUCGGUGGAAAGCGAGCCGAAUUCGCCAUGUCCACUUCAGAAAAUUAGGUCUGAAGCUAUCGACAGGAGAAGAAAAAGCAGAAAAAGAGAAAUAAACUCUUGUCGCCAAACGCAGUAAUAGAGACUUUUCUUCCUUUUCUAAAAUCC